AAAGGAGUCCGAGGAACGAGUACUGCAAAAAUCGCGCGAGAUAAGAAAUGCCUUGCUCCCGUGGCGAAUACGAUAUUUUCUACAGCACAUGUUGGAAAUACGCGGAUUUCCUAGUCUUUUUGAAGCAAGCCGGAUCUGACUAGUUAUUUUCGAUUUUCGACUGAAGUAAAGAACAGAGAAAAGAAGUCCAUAACAGGGGAAAAAUUCAAUUCCGGAUGAAUCAGAACCACACAGUAUACCUGCAACAAAAAUUAGUCUUGGUAGUGUGAAUGGUACCACUACACAAGCAAUAUGAGAAGCUACAAGCAAGAAUGAAAAGAAGAUCGGUUCGGAGAUAUCCGAUUCACGGUGUGGGCCAUUGAGGGUCAUGAGCUUCGACAGAUUAAAUUCAAGGUAUACAAUUACGAGCGGCCACGAGCGUUGGAGGUGACAACAGUCAUCUUUGGAUGCUUUCUACGAACUAUCAUCUGCCACUCCACGGGUUUUUAGUCGCUCACUUACUGAUGGUCAAGAAAGUUUCUUACAAUGGGACAGGUGUUUAAUAAAACCGCCUUCUGACCUGCUGCC